GAUGAACGCUGGCGGCGUGCCUAAUACAUGCAAGUCGAGCGAACAGACGAGGAGCUUGCUCCUCUGACGUUAGCGGCGGACGGGUGAGUAACACGUGGAUAACCUACCUAUAAGACUGGGAUAACUUCGGGAAACCGGAGCUAAUACCGGAUAAUAUAUUGAACCGCAUGGUUCAAUAGUGAAAGACGGUUUUGCUGUCACUUAUAGAUGGAUCCGCGCCGCAUUAGCUAGUUGGUAAGGUAACGGCUUACCAAGGCAACGAUGCGUAGCCGACCUGAGAGGGUGAUCGGCCACACUGGAACUGAGACACGGUCCAGACUCCUACGGGAGGCAGCAGUAGGGAAUCUUCCGCAAAGGGCGAAAGCCUGACGGAGCAACGCCGCGCGAGUGAUGAAGGUCUUCGGAUCGUAAAACUCUGUUAUUAGGGAAGAACAAAUGUGUAAGUAACUAUGCACGUCUUGACGGUACCUAAUCAGAAAGCCACGGCUAACUACGUG
rnacentral:rRNA from 1 species